GGGCAAUUGGCCUAGGGGUAUGAUUUUCGCUUCGCAGGUUCUAUCCAGCUAUGUGAAGGUCACCGGUUCGAAUCCGGUAUUGUCCA